rnacentral:snRNA from 1 species
AUGCUUGCUUUGGCAGCACGUAUACUAAACCUGGAGUGACACAGAGAAGAUUAGCAUGGCCCCUGUGCAGGGAUGACACACACAUUGGUGAAGCAUUCCAUAGUUUU